AACGGGCGGAGUUUUCCUAGUCUAGAGAGUGUAUUGUAGCCUUGUUAGAGGGCUGCAGCUCAUUCAGCAGCUCUGUAAAUGAAGUUCGUUGUUCAACUAAAGGAGAUGCCCAGGAUGCGCCGCAAGCAAUGAAGAUGAAAACUGUUGCACUUUUUUUCUUGGUAGCUGUAAGUCAUCCAUGCUUCACAGCUGUACAACAAAGUGCUGAGAAUGUAGUGUAGAAGGCAGUAACUGGAGUUCGCCUAUUAUACUGGUACCAAAACCAGAUGCAACACACACUCUGUGUGGACUAGUGAAAGGCGAAUGCAGUGACAAAAGCGGAUUCAUAUCCUAUGCCAAGGUUGGAAGAUUGCAUUGAGAAAGUGGGACAAUCAAAAUUUAUCAUAAGGAUUGACGUGCUAAAAGAAUAUUGGCAAGUACUGUUAUUGGAGUGAACAAAGGAGAUAUCUACUUUUGUGACCCCAAAUGGACUAUAUCAGUUUAAAGUCAUGCCAUUUGGUAUGAAGAAUGCACCUGUGACAUUUCAAAGACUGACAAACAAAGUAAUUGCAGGUCUGAGCAAUUGUGCUGUUUAUAUUGAUGACUUGAUAGUUUUCAGUCCUACGUGGGAAGAGCAUUUACGACAUCUGGAAGAAUUAUUUACUCGAUUACCAGAAGCUAAUUUGGUCAUAAACUUGGCUAAAAGUGAAUUUGCAAAAGUGCAAGUUACAUUUCUAGGCCAUGACAUUGGACAUGGUAAAGUGGCUCUGAGAGAUGUGAAAAGCAAGGCUAUCAUGGAUUUCCCCAUGCCUACAACAAAAUGAGAAGUUUUGAGAUUGCUGGGCAUGUGUGGGUUUAUUGGAAAUUUACACCAAAUUUUAGCAGUGUGGUUGCUCCACUGACUGAACUAUUAAAAAAGAACAAGAAGUUUCAAUGGACACUGGAAUGUCAGAAGGCAUUUGGCAGUUUGAAAACUGCAUUACUCCAAUUUUGGCAGUUCCCAAUUAUGCCAAGCAGUUUAAGUUGGCCAUUGACACAAGUGAUAUAGGCAUUGGGAUCGUUCUGUUACAUCAGGUGACACUGGAAUUGAAAAACUGAUAGGAUAUUUUUCACGGAAGUUAAAUGCACAACAGAGAAGACAUUCAAUGAUCAAAAAGGAGACUUUGGGUUUGGUGUUAGCAUUUUGGCAUUUUGAAAUCCAUGUGGCAAACAAUUCAAAAACAAUUGUUUAUACAGACCAUAAUCCUUUAAAGUUUCUGGACAAAUUUUGAGACAGAAGUGCAAAGAUGGAGUUAUUCAGAAGGAGUUAUUGCUGCAAUCAUUUAAUCUACAGAUUAUAUAUGUCACUGGACGAGAAAAUCUGAUUGCAGUUGCUUUGUCAAGAGUUGGAAACUUAAAGGGAAAAUUGGACAUUUAAAAACCUGGACUCUGAACUGGAAUGAUUUCUGUUGAUGCGAAGGAUUUGUAUAUAUAUAUCAUUAUGUUAAUGCAUGCAUCUGGUAAUGUGAUAUAGAUAAGUAUAGGAGAUAGUGUAAGAUGGGUUUAAUAAAAAUGAAGCUAUCUUUUUAAAUCAUGAUGCUUCAUUUUUCAAUACGGAGGGCGAUGUGAGGAUAAUUCUCAUCAUUUUAUUGAAAUUUAUUGUAAAAUCGAGUAAUAGUAGGAUGUGUCUGUGUCUGAUUGU